ensembl:lincRNA
CCUCCCUGCCAUUAAGCCUUUCGGAAAAUAAGGAACCCACUAUUCCCUGACCUUUGGGAUUUUUGCAACCACCAGACUGCAGUUCAGAACACAGACAAGAAACUGUCCAAGGAAAACAUGCCCCCGAACGAACAGGAUAUAAACAGAGCUGUAACUAGGUAAUUAAUGGUAGGGCCCUGACUCCCCUCACUUCACUUCUCUGAUAACAAUCUGCCAUUUUAUCAGCAGGGUCUUUUAUCUGGAAGGAUUCACUGUGUUCUGCUGCCUGGAACUAUUCUGGGAAGGGACAAAGACAAGCUUUCAUCUUGGAAAGGAAAUGGAACCACAUCUAGAAGGGAUAAAGAAGAGUCAAAGCUGUAAAAAAACAAAACAAAACAAGAAAACCUCUCAGUCUUUCCCUGCCAGAAGGGAGAGGCCAUCAUCAGAACACUUCACUGAUUCAGACUGGCCGUUUUUUCCAGAGAAGUUUAGGAUUAUCACAGAAGAAAACAUUGACAAGUUAAAAAAAUUUCAACAUGAACUGACAGUCUUGGAUUCUGUCUUCUUUCUAAGAGGAUAAAAAGAGGGUGAUCAAAUUGCAAGUUCUUCCGAGGAUGAAGACCUUCUUUCUUCACUUUGCAUCUUACCAAGACCUAACACUAGCUAGGUAUGCAAUGGAUGUUUAACAACUACUUCAUCAAUCUAUUAACUAAUUGGAUUCUAACUUUUAGAGUGGAUGGCAGCAACAGGCCAUGGAUUAUCAUCAUUGUCAAAAAUUUCACCUAAGAAUGAAGCUGUUUGCAGAUCAAAUCACUUGUUCUAACAUGACCUGCAUUGGCCUGUUGAAGUAACAGAUAACAUUGAAGAAAAGCUGGUCCAUACAAGUUUUGUUUUUUUAGCUUGCUUUGUCAAUGCAUUCCGUAAGAGGUGAAUUCCUCAUUCCUUUUGCUCAAAAACAUAUUUAGAAAAUGGUCUUAAAGAGAUCUGGCACCAGAGAUGAAGUUGGCCAGGCUCUUUGCUAGGAACUAAGAGAUAAAAAUCAGUGACAGAUGACAGAGUAUCCUUUAUACCAGUUCUCUUUGCAAAAAAGCCACACAAUGCAGGAAACAUGAUUUCAUUCCACAUGCUGAAUCUUAGCUACCCUUGGGUAGAAGUCAGAAAUUCAGAAGGCGGUGAGCACAAUGCUUCCCGUAAAGCGCUAGGCAGGCAGGCAGGGCCAUGGUAGAAAGGAGACAGAGUACGUAGCUGCCCGAACUGAUUUCACAGCAUUAGGAAACAACCUUCCCAUGUCUCCCCUGUGGAAGGCCCCAAACUCCAAAACCAACUUUCAUUGCUGUAUUUCAAAAUGUAUGUCUAAUACAACAAACAGCCCCAAGGAAGGUAAUGACUAGGGUCAUUUACACAUCUGUAUGAAAGGAAGAAGUGGGCACAGGUCUGGCUUAUAUGCAAAGAGGAUAAUGGAGCAGCUGGAAAACCCCUGAGCAGAACUGAACAUGUGCACCUUGAUGAUCCUGCCCAAAGCCUGACCUGGUAUCAGAGUCACACUAGUAAAACCAGAGGUCAGAGUUUCCACACACUGAUGGGACGGCAGUUCCCUUCUUUAUCCAACCAUAGCUGGGAGAUCAGGAAGGUAUAGGGACAUUCCUAACCUUUAAUCCCAAUCUCCCAGGCUCACAGAAUUUAGCAGUAACCACAGGAGGGGUGGAGUUCUGGAUGUUUCUGAGCGCCAGGUUGGGAAACAAGUCCUACAUUAACAGCACCGGCAAAGACCUAUUCUCAGUUGUCUCUUCUUGUCAUGGGCUAGGCUCGGGGACUCCUGUGUUCUCUCUAUAGGCAUCUCUGUUCAAAGAAGAGCCUUCAGGAAGUUUGGACAACAAAGAGUUAUCUAUUUUAAUCACGUUUCAGAAAAGCAUCUCUCUGACUUUUCUCAAAGACUCAGAUGUUCCUUGUACUCGUCGGAAAACAAAUGUGGUUUCAGCCAACAUCUGGAAUGGAGAAAAAUAUAGCAACCACAAAAAAGAUAAUUAAAUUAAUAAGGAAUGCUUUUCAGACAUAACAUCCCAUAGGCCAAAAAAAUGUUUUCAGAACUCUCCAGAACGAAAUUAUAGAAGUUACUUAGAAGCUAAACUUAAGUGAAUUAACUGCUGGAGGGCACCAUAUGGGAGCAGACCUCUGUGACCCUAUGGACCUUGCUAAGAAUGGCACCCCAACUUCUUUUCUUUGUGUGACAGAGGAGCCCAUAAUAAAAAUGUACAAGUAACAUGUUAUCAUUUUGGAGGCAGGCUUGUCAUUUCCUUCACUGUACAUUUGCAAUCUACAUCUAGGUUGUGCAGCUGUUCCAAAAUAAGACGUCUCAAAAAGAUGCCCUGCUGGUCAUCUCACUCAACCUCAGACAUCCUGCAGAAAGCCCAGCAUGUGAUCAGUUUUCCUUGAAUACUUUCAAUGACCGGCAGCUCAGUGUUACAGAAAUCUAUCCAUUCCCUUGAUGGAGCAUGCUAACUUUCACAAAACUCUUCUUUAUAUUAAAUCUGAAAUCUACCUCUCAGUUUCCCCUUGGGAGUGCAAGAAAGAAAUUAUGUGCCUUCUUCCAUAUGGCAGCCUCUCAAGAAUGUAAAGACUACUACCAUGUUGCCUCUAAGUCUUUUCCAGUCAAACUGUUUCCA